rnacentral:miRNA from 1 species
GAAAUGCCUCCUUGAGAUCCAGCUGUAAGGCAUUUUCUCAUUUAGUGAUUAAUAGGGGAAGGCCCAGCCCAUGGUAAGUGGGUACCAUCUCUGGGCUGCUGGUC